GGUUAGCGUUCGAUGUUUCUUCUGGGGGUAGAGCACUGGAAGGUUUAGAUAGGGGGAAACUUCACUAAACCUAUCAAACUCCGAAUACCAGAAAUUAAAGUCGGACAGUUAGACUGUGGGGGCGAAGCUCCAUUGGUCAAAAGGGAAACAGCCCAGAUCUCAAAUUAAGGUCCCUAAAUUUACACUAAGUGCACUUAAGGAGGUGAAAUUUCUCAGACAGUGAGGAGGUUGGCUUAGAAGCAGCCAUCCUUUAAAGAUAGCGUAACAGCUCACUCAUCUAGAGAACUUGCGCCGCAAAUAAUCGGGGCUAAAGUGUAGUACCGAAGCUGAGGGUUUGUGCAUUUCAUAGAGGAU
rnacentral:rRNA from 1 species